rnacentral:lncRNA from 1 species
CUUUUAAUCCUGCUUCGGCUAACCACUAGGAUCAAUGUUACUUCUAUAAUAUUGUUUGUCACUGAAUUAUAUAUAUUGCUUCUUGCAGUCUUAUAUAAGUUAAUUGUUUCACAAAUUGCAUAUUGCUUAUAUUUUAUCUGUGACGUGGAUUUAUUCUUCAUUAAUUUGAUAUAUUAUUUUUGUCUGCAUUGGAUGAGAUGAGCGAAAUUUUUGAUUUGAAGAUGCUGUGAGAAAUUUUAUUAUCAAAUUGGAUUGAGAAUAAUAUUGUGAAUAUUUAUGCCUAAUUUAAAAUUAUGUACAUUUAUUGUAGUGAUAAAUGGCUUCCAAAAAUUUUUCCAUCGCGGAUUCGUUAAAUCAAGAUAGGCUUGAUGGAACAAAUUAUGACAUGUGGCAUAAAAAAAUUCAAUAUCUCCUAAAUGAGAAAGGGAUA